rnacentral:tRNA from 1 species
AGUGGUUAAGCCCUUGGCUGCUAACCAGAAGGUUGGUGGUUCAAAUCCACCAACUACUU